rnacentral:rRNA from 1 species
UACGUAGGGUGCAAGCGUUGUCCGGAAUUAUUGGGCGUAAAGAGCUCGUAGGCGGUCUGUUGCGUCGGCUGUGAAAACCCGGGGCUCAACUCCGGGCCUGCAGCCGAUACGGGCAGACUAGAGUUCGGCAGGGGAGACUGGAAUUCCUGGUGUAGCGGUGAAAUGCGCAGAGAUUGGGAAGAACACCAGUGGCGAAGGCGGCUAUCUGGACGGUUUCUGACACUAAGACUCGAAAGCGUGGGGAGCAAACAGG